UCAUAGCAUAUAACCUAGCCGGAUAAUAAAAACAAUAGUUUCAAAUCCAAAAACUUUGGCGGUGUUCUAUCUAAUCAGGGGAACCUGUCCCUUAAUUCGAUAUUCCACGAUUAUCUACCCUCUUUUUGAAUAUACAGCUUGUAUACUGCCGUCGGAAGCAUGCCCCUAAAGGAGCGUGCAAUAACACUAUAAUUGUUAACGUCAGGUCAAAGUGCAGCUAAUAUUGAGGGGGCGAUGGGUUACACUAUAAAUAAAUGAGCUCAAGACUAUAGAACUUAAAUCUAAAAGAUGGACUUGAUAGUAAUUACAGGUAACUAUCCUGUAAUAAACAAGAAUCUAGAACAUGCACACAUCGCCCGUCACUCUCGUUGAAAAAUG
rnacentral:rRNA from 1 species